GUAACUAUUAGACAACACCAGGUGUAUUUUAACAAGAUAAUAACUUAGGUCUUUGUUCCUCUUCGUGCUCUCAAGUUGCAGAUAAGUUUCACUUUCAAUCAAUGUUGCCCAUAUCUUUACAUCUUUUUCCUUCAUUUUUUCCUAGGUUUGUUUUAGGUUGUCUGCAUUCUUCUUAGAUCUCCUUUUCUUUUCUCUUUUUUUUUUUCCUUUUGUAUUCUUUUGGUAAUUGUGAAUCUCAAUAGUUUGUGCAAGUUCUCUUUUCCUUUUGUAUUCUUUUGGGUAAUUGUGAAGCUCAAUGAUUUUUGCAGGUUCUCUUCUCAUGUUUCUCUCUGAUUUUCCCUGAUCUUUUUCCCCUCUUUUAAUUUUUUGCCGUCUUUUGGGUUCUUUGCAUACUAAUUAUGUCUGCCGCUUAGCUGUGGCUUGUGGGGCAUAGUUUUGGUGCCCAAAGCACUCAAAGAGACAAUUCAGACCAGACAUUACAAUAUAUAUAAAAACUGAAAUGAUCCGCAGUCAUUGCUUUAGAAAUACCUUAUCUAAUUGAGUUGUUAAUUAUAUAUAUGCUUUGUAACAGCGAAGUAGUCGAGGGUCUAUUGGAAACAACCUUUCUAUUUUCACAAUUUUAGUUUUGCAAUUCAAUGGCUUGUGUGUUAAAUCGGGCGGUAAAAGUGCAUUUUAAGCUCUAACCUUGCUGAUUUUUAGAAUUUUGUGAUUUUUUUGUGUUCUUCACAUACUUUUGAUUAUGCAAUUUCAUGGCUGUUGUGUGCUAUAUGGGAGUUCAAACAUACUGUUAUACUGUAACAUGCUGUAAUUGCAGAUUAUCUGAACAUGAAAGAAAGGUUUAAUAUCAAUGCGAUUAUUUUGAAAAUAGAAGAGUGGACCUGCAGAGUUCAAGUAGUUGAUAAAAGCAGAUUUAGGGAUAACAAAGAAGGAAAACCAAGUCCACGACAUUAUAUUCAAUGCUGAAAUAACACAUUAUGAAAAUCUGCUUCAUUCUUUUCACACUUACUUGGUGUUUGUUGCACAAGUUAAGGAAUCAGAUUAUAUGUAUGGAAAUCCAGUUAAGAAAUUCACUUGGACAAUUGAUAGGAGCACGUUCGCUGAGCCAAUAAAAACGAUCAAUAUGGUCGUCGACGGGACUAACUCUUGCACCAUUUGACAGUUUCAAGUAUCAACUCAAGGGAUCCAAAUUUGAUAAUUGAAGGUUAUGUGAUGACCCAAAAGGUCAUCACUUGUGUUUAACUGAA